CAUAAACAGAAGGAGUAGGCGGAACUAAAAUAAAACUCAAAAUUCAUUAUUUUUAAGACACUUCGCUGUCCUUUUCUUUUAGCUCGCCACUUUCGUGAUUCAGUAAAGAUGAUGUGGAUGACCAAUUGGCCAGAUUCUUAUCCCGCAAACGUGUCGAUGUGAUGCUUGGUGAAAACUUUGGUGUUCCCUGAUUGCAACUUAGAGUAGAUUGACGACUCAGGCUCGAGGGAUGAUGAUAAAGUUUCUGGCGUAUAUUCUCUAUGGACCUGCCCACGGAGAGACCACGCGAGAGAUAACCACGCUGCUGAGCCGUAUAUUUGCUGGCCGGUUCAAUAAAGGAAUGCUGUUUGCGUACCGAUUGCAACAGCCUGGCCCCGGCUCCAAGGGGGACACUUGACCCUGAUGAUGAUGUUGAAGUUCCGGCAGCUGUAUGCGCUGAAGAGGCGUUGGUCUGAAACCGACGACGGCUGGCCACAGACAGCGACAUGGUUGUCUUUGGUUACGCUUUUGGUGGUGGUCGCCCAGGUGUCGAUGACUAACACAAAACUAAACUAACUCAAACUCAAACAAAUGGUUAUUUGGGCUUACGUUUCAAUUGCCAAUCAAUUGCCACAUUCGAGAAUGCAAAUCAAUUACGAAGUCAUUAAGCCAAGAAGGCAAUAACUUUGUCAACAAAAAAAAACAACAACAACAGCAACCAGAAAGCAGAAAACCAAACCAAAAGGAGAGAGAAGCACAAACACAACCGGCUAAAGUCACGAAAGUUAAUUCUCUCUUUCCACUUGACUUUCACUAAAAUAUCAAAUUGUUGUCGCAAAACAAGAGUGCAGUACUUCCAAAAGGUGACUCUAGGUGUGGGCUUCCACGUCCUUUUUGUUUGCCAUCUAAACGAGCACUGACUGACGCUAGGACGCUUUUGAUUGCGUUUUGUGAAUGGAAGGUGCAAGCAAGCCCAAAAAACAUGAGAAAAAAGAGUUUGUUGUUACUCGUGCUCCAAGUCUCGGUGGUUCGUUAUGUUAUCCAACAACAGCAAUAACAACAUGUCCUAAGGAGCGGCAAGCGCGUUGCCAAGUCCAAGUUAUGCUCUCAGCUCCAGUUUGUUUGUUCCAUUUCCGGUGACAGCAGGCACGGUUUUUGGCCAAUAAAAGGAGGCAUCGAAAACCUUAAGAUACAACUAAGAAACUCUCAAUCUCAAGCCUUUAAAAUUUCUGAUUUAUCGAUCUGCUUUUAGAUUGUUCUAUUUUAUUAAAGUUAUGUAAGUGCAACUUUUGCAUUUGUAACACUAAAAA